AGUCAAUAGAUACCCGGUAGUCCACGCCGUAAACGAUGAGUACUAGGUGUAGGAGGUAUCGACUCCGUUCUGUGCCGCAGUUAAACACAAUAAGUACUCCGCCUGGGAAGUACGGUCGCAAGAUUAAAACUCAAAGGAAUUGACGGGGCCGGCACAAGCAGCGGAGCAUGUGGUUUAAUUACGAAGCAACGCGAAGAACCUUACCUAGACUUGACAUCUCCUGAAUAGCGCAGAGAUGCGUGAAGCCCUUCGGGUCGAGGAAGACAGGUGGUGCAUGGUUGUCGUCAGCUCGUGUCGUGAGAUGUUGGGUUAAGUCCCGCAACGAGCGCAACCCCUACUUAUUAGUUGUCUACCACUUAAGUUAGUA
rnacentral:rRNA from 1 species